rnacentral:misc_RNA from 1 species
GUAGGUGAACCUGCGGAAGGAUCAUUAUUGAAAUAAACCUGAUGGGUUGUUGCUGGUUCUCUAGGGAGCAAUGUGCACACCUUGUCAUCUUUAUAUCUCCACCUGUGCACCUUUUGUAGACCUUUCAGGUCUAUGUUGCUUCAUUUACCCCAAUGUAUGUUAAUAGAAUGUUGUGCCUAUAUAAUAUAUACAACUUUCAGCAACGGAUCUCUUGGCUCUCGCAUCGAUGAAGAACGCAGCAUCUGACUGA